CAUUAUGUUUAAAAAAAUCCUUUGGGACCACGGUGGGAUGAGUUUUGUUCACGUGUUCAGCGUCUGAUUACCAGAUUGGAGUUGGGAAGGCGCUUCUGUUCCACCUUGGAUGUGGCUACUCUGGAAGUGGUUGGGGAGGUGGUAAGCUUGGCUCACUUGCUUUGUUAUUUGGAGGUAUAGCCACGCAGUAACCUUGUUGAAGUGGGUAGAAGCACCGAGAGGUGCUGGCUUGCUCAAAGAAAUGCAGUCUGAGGCCUUCAGAUCCAAAACCCUGUCCCACUGCACCGUUCUGCCUUCUGUGGAUAUUCUGGGAAGCAACAGGGCCCCCGCUGUUUGGAAACCUCUCACUCUGCUGUGGCUACUGUGCAUGUUUCCAGUCCUGAUGUUCUCGCAAGGUUUGUGGAAGUGGGAGAGAAAGUGUGUCAGUAAUCGCUGCUUGCUUUGAGAUUAUCUGUGUCAUGACAGGAGGGGUGGGGGGGAGGUCAGCAGAAGGAUUAAUAGAAGCUUCCCAACCUCACCCUUGUAUUUUCUUCCCUGACCUGCAUCUUGGCACGGAGAAGCAAAUAUUUUCUCCAUGUCAGGAAAGCACCUGGGCUGCUUCAAGGCACUUGGGCAACCCAUUCAACUUGGCCAAGCUGCCCGAGGAAGGCGAGGGAGCAUCUUCCUCGGACUUCAUGUUCUUUGAAGGGAAAGGGGUGAAGCUCCCCGAGAAGGUUGGGGGCCCAGCUCUGCGAUGUGUCCAGUGGCACUGAGAACUGUCUUCUUCGUCCUCGCUGUGCGGGGGUUCCUCUCAGGUGAGGAAUCGGAAGUAGAUUUGGACACCUACUGGUCUGGAACAGCCCCAAUCUGCUUAGGAGGGUGCAGAGGAAAGCACAAAGAAUUGAAGAGGAGCCAGUGUGGAAAUGGAAGCUGCUGUUGGUUGGGAUACAAAUCAUUUUGUAGAGUCAACUGUGGGCGACCAGAAGCAGAGUUCAAUUCCAUGGUCUACGGCAAUGACUGGUGGGUGGGCUCAGUGGUCCGCUACAGGUGCCGCCCUGGCUUCCUGCUGGUGGGGGACCCGGCUAGUGCUUGCCUGUCCAGUGGGCGCUGGACCCCCAAACCCACCUGCCUCCGGAUCUGCCUUCGGGGCCGGAUUGAAAUCAACGAACGGGACAUCGAUGGAAGCUGCUCCUCCACCUGUCCCCACAAGGCACACCUGGGACCCUCUGUCAACCAUGGCUGCAUCAAGAUCUCCUCCUGCACCACCAAGCAAUCUGGCUGGACCCGCUGGUUCUUCCGUUGUGACUUUUGUGAGUGCGAGUGCUACAUCCCCUGCGAAAGUGACACCCCUGACUUCUGGAAGCCCUCCUCUGCUCCCGUGUCCCUGCCUCUGGAUUUCAAAAAGAUCUGCACCCAGGCAUUGAAGCCUACUGGUAUCCUAGUCAACAGGGGCUAGAAACCUGCUUGGUUCCCCCUUCCCUCAGCUGGUGGAGGGUUGGCCUGGGACUCAGGAGGUGCAGGUUGUAUCCCCAGUUGACCAUGAAGCCAAUCACUGACUCAACCUCCCGGGACUGCUGUGAAGAUAAAAUGGAGAGGAGGGUUAUAUAAGCCACAUGGGGUUCCUUGCAGGAAGAAAGGAGGGAUAAAACUAUAGUGAAUUAAUAAAAUUUAAAACUGUCAAGUUAAGCCCCUCAAGUUAAGAAUGGCCAGUGAUUGGGGUACUGGAGGUUGCAGUCUAAAACAUCUAGAGAACAACAGGUUCUAGAUCACAGGGUUACGACGUAAGAACUGGCAUUGCAGAGGGAAUAGAUGCCUCUUCGGUAUAAGCCAAAGUUUAGGCUGGAACUUAACAGAAAAACAGGAUUGUCAGCCGAUCUACAGGAGGGGGAAAGCUUUCACUGCCUUGGUCCACCAGCGGAUGGCUUGAUAGGUUCAUCUGGAUCAUAUGUUACCUUCCCAAGGGACUAGUGAGGUCUGUUAAGCUGAAAUAAGGUGACCUUACAAAGGCUUCUCGCUAUGGGGCCUGUAAGCUGUAGGGGAUCUAAAAUAAGGACAUAAAAAGCCAGGGAUUCAAGGGGUCAGGGUGAAGGAUAAAUGGUCCUUGAGUGGAAGGGACCCAGAGAAGUGCAGUCUCCGAGUGCCGGUUUGGGGGCAUUCCAUAAAAAAAUCUGUGCCUGAGUCCAGGGUCUCUCUUGCUGUCUGGGCAAAACCAGCCCAUUGUCGACAUCGAAUGUGACCCACGUGGUUUUGAGCCUGGGCACGGUAAGCAGCUGGGCCCAGAUUCAGGAGAGACGGCAGAGCACAGCCUUGGAGGCACGCAGAGCUGGCGGGCCACACUCUUGGUAUUCCUGCUUAAGUUAGAGUAAUUCCAAAGGUGCCCCGGACUUACUGGUUGGCGUGCGCAAGCGUUGUGCAAGGGGGUGUCCUCUUUCUGGCCUCCAUGCCCUUCGAGUCAAAGUGCUCCACACCCUGAAUGCAGAUGCUAAACCCAACAUGUGCUCUUUUGCAGCUGAAAGCUAACACCAGAAGGACGGCCCACCCGUGUUGCCUCCUCUACCUGCUGUCCAGUCUUAAGCACGUGCCUGACUUCCUCUGGAUUCUCACCUGCCUCUUCUUUCUAACCCAUCUCGGGAACAGAUCUCAGAUGCUGGCAACUAGCUAGUUUCAAACGGUGCAUGAAUAAAACCUGCGUU